UACGGAGGGAGCUAGCGUUGUUCGGAAUUACUGGGCGUAAAGCGCACGUAGGCGGCUUUGUAAGUUAGAGGUGAAAGCCCGGGGCUCAACCCCGGAAUUGCCUUUAAGACUGCAUCGCUUGAAUCCGGGAGAGGUGAGUGGAAUUCCGAGUGUAGAGGUGAAAUUCGUAGAUAUUCGGAAGAACACCAGUGGCGAAGGCGACACACUGGCCCGUUACUGACGCUGAGGCGCGAAAGCGUGGGGAGCAAACAGG
rnacentral:rRNA from 1 species